rnacentral:lncRNA from 1 species
AUCCUCUCUUUAAUUUGUUUGCAUCUUUAAUUUUAUGUGUCUUUUUAAGCAAUGGAAUAUCAAAAUUAGUAGUUAAAAUGAUGGUGUAAUAAAAAAGUAUAAAUUGUAAAGUAGUGACUAAAUUGCUACGCCACUUUUCCUUCAUCAAUCAAACAAAAUAUUUGUCUUAGAAACUAAAUGGAAUCUUACGAUUUUUCUUAGUG